GUCUACGGCCAUACCAUCCUGAAUGCGCCCAAUCUCAUCUGAUCUCGGAAGCUAAGCAGGGUCGGGCCUGGUUAGCACUUAGAUGGGAGAAAGGCGUCCACCCUCUUCC
rnacentral:rRNA from 1 species